rnacentral:misc_RNA from 1 species
AACUUUUGGCAACGGAUCACUUGGCUCUCGCAUCGAUGAAGAACGCAGCGAAAUGCGAGAAGUAAUGUGAAUUGCAGAAUUCAGUGAAUCAUCGAAUCUUUGAACGCACCUUGCGCCCUUUGGCUAUUCCGAAGGGCAUGCCUGUUUGAGUAUCAUGAACACCUCAACUCUCAUGGCUUUCCAUGGUGAGCUUGGACGCUGGGGGUCUUGCUGGCUCGUGGUCCGCUCCUCUUAAAUGAAUCAGCCUUCCAGUGUCUGGUGGCAUCACAGGUUUGAUCACUAUCCACUCUUGUGGUGUCCUCUCAGGCAACCUUUAGUGAUGGAGGUCGCUGUAGUUAAUAAAUGCUCAUUUCUCAUUGUAGGGUUCGCCUAUUAUAUGUUUGAUCUCAAUUCAGGUAGUACUACCCGCUCAACUUAAGCAUAUCAAUAAGCGGAGGCU